rnacentral:lncRNA from 1 species
GAAAAUACAUAGGUUACUAACGGUUGCUCUACGGGUAUGCAUUUAUAAUUUUCAGUUAAGUGACUUCUUUUGCUAUAGUAGUCUUGAGGAAUACCAUUAUUUAUUUUCAUAAAACUUAAAAACUUUGUUUCCUCUUUUAUUAUUUCUCAUUUCAUUGAAUUUUGGUGUUUCUCUUGCAGCAUGAAGUUUACAUGUCCAACAUUGAUUUCCUUGAAGAAAAUGAUGAUGAAGUGGACCUAACAUGACAUUUUAUUCCUUCUAGUUUGUUGUAUGUUAGUUAAUAAAUAUUGUAGAUACUAUGGUCCUUGAGAGACCAAGAUACAAAACAAAUUAUGUAAUUACGGUGACUCGAGC